CAGCACCUGAUGCAGGCCCCUGACCUCCUGUCUUAGAGCACUUACUAAAGGAAGGAUCACUGCUGUGACUUCUUUCCCUGUCACUUUGAGAUGUGUGUGUCCACUGAGCACAAUACUACGGUUCCCACCAUGAGAGAAGAGCAGCCGCCAGUCUGUGUCCAAUUUAGUUGUUAACUGAAUUGAACACUGCUGGUGGAGUUCAUGGCAGCUUGACUCCUGGAAACGUCACCAACCAGUCAUGCAUGACCAGCAAAGGGGACAUGACGUGGCACAGUCAGACACGGACCUUCAGUAACUCUCUGACAGUGAGCUUGGUGUGCUCACCUCGUUCUGUGAAGGUGCCUUGAGCAGGGAUCACAAGCUUCCAGGCAGGUGUGAGCUCACUGGCACCCUCCCUGCACUUCAGGGCUCCUCACAUGGAGGCCACCUUUGAUGCUGAUGCCAGCCGCACCCGUGACAUCUCUGUUGUGGACAAGAGAACAGGAAAGGGGAAGAAGACUGCUGUCGCAGAGACAAGGGCCACUUGGACAAGGAAGACAGUGAGCGUGCGGCUGGGGAAGCUGGAAGGCUUGGAGCCAGAGAUGAGGAGUAGAGGAGCAGGCAUCGAGCAGGAAUUGCUUAAGUCAUAUUCAUUCAACACGAAGCCAAUAACGGAAGAUGAGAAACUUCAACGCAAGAGCAGCAAUGAGGAAAAACAGUCAAUUUUCAGAUUUUUACGGAUAAUAUUGUUCUACUACAUGCAACAUAUUGUUCUGACUGUACAAGCGCUAGGACCCAAAUUCCAUCCCCAGUACCAGAAAAACAAAACAAAACAUAUCGUUCUGAAAUACACCUACAUUGUGAAAUGCCACAUCUAGUUAACUAACAUUUGAUUACCUCGUGUGGUUGAUCAUUUGUCAUCUCCUCUCUUGGCAUUCUUCAAGAAUGUAAUAUGAAAUAUUUAAAAAACCAAUAGGAAAUAGGGG
ensembl:lncRNA